ensembl:lncRNA
UUUUUUUUUUUUUUUGGUUUCCUAGAGCAUGCACAAGCCAUGUUUACCCUAUAUUGCAGUCUUCUGUGCGUAACAGCAUCAAGUCUAAAAAAGGAUAUACAGUAAUUUAAAAAUACUGUACUGCUAAAAAAUACUAACCACAUGAGCCUUCAGUGAGUCAUCAUAGUGAAAGCAAAGAUUACUGACCACAGAUCACUAUGACAAUGUGAUAAUGAUGAAACAGUCUGAAGUAUUUCAAGAAUUACCAAAAUGUGACGUGAAGUGAGCACAUGCUGUUCAAAAAAUGGUAUCAGCAGACGUGCUUUACACAGGGCUGCCAUGAAAUUUUAAUUUGUAAAAAACACAAGAUCUGGGAAACAAUAAUGCAAAGCACAAGAAAACAAAGUAUGCAUGUAGAAGGAAACUUCCUCAAAUUGAUCAAGGGCUUUUACAAAAAAACCUACAGUUAGUAUCAGUCUUAUUGAUCAAUGGCAGAACAUUUUCCUUUAAAGAUCAGGAAGAAGUCAAGGAGGCCUGGUCUUACCAUUUCGAUCCUACAUUGUACUAAAGCAUCUAACCAGCGAAAGAAGGCAAGAAAAGUAUAAAAGGCCUAAAAAUUGGAAAUGAAGAAGUGAAAUUUGCAACGACUAUAUAGACUAUCCUAUGGAAUCUACAAAAAGCUCCUAGAGUUAGAGCGUUUGUUAAGGUUUCAGGAUACAAGAACAAUAUGCAAAACUUAAUUGUGCUACUACAUGAUAGCAAUGAAUAAUCAGAAUGUGAAAUUAAAAGUAUAAUACUUUCUGUUUUGCUUUUUAGGGCCACACUAGCGGCAUACGGAAGUUCCCAGGCUAGGGGUCAAAUCGGAGCUGCAGCUGGAGGCUUCACCACAGCCAUGGUAACCCCAGCUCCUGAACCCACUGAGGGAGGCCAGGGAUUGAACCCACAUCUUCAUGGAUACUAGUCAGGUUCAUAACCCUCUGAGCCACAACGGGAACUCCCACUACAAUACUAUUUAUAGUAGCACCCCAAAAUGAACUAUUUUGAGGUAAAUUUAACAAAACAUGUGAAAGGGAGUUCCCUUCGUGGCGCAGUGGUUAACGAAUCCGACUAGGAACCAUGAGGUUGUGGGUUCGGUCCCUGCCCUUGCUCAGUGGGUUGCCGAUCUGGCGUUGCCAUGAGCUGUGGUGUAGGUUGCAGAUGCGGCUCGGGUCCCGUGUUGCUGUGGCUCUGGUGUAGGCCGGUGGCUACAGCCCCGAUUCGACCCCUAGCCUGGGAACCUCCAUAUGCUGCGGGAGCAGCCCAUGAAAUAGAAAAAAGAGCAAAAAAAAAAAAAAAAAAAAAAAAAAAAAAAAAAAAAAAAAAAAAAGGUGAAAGAACUGAAUACUGAAAAGUAUAAAUUAUUGUUGAUGAGAAUUAAAGAACUAAAUAAAUGGAGACCAAUACCAGAUUCAUGGAUUGGAAGACUUAAUAUAGUCAUAAUGUCCAUGAUCCUUAACUGGUGUGUAAAUUUAAUUCAAUCCCAAUCAAAAUCCCAGUAGAUUUCUUUGCAGAAGUUGACAAGCUAAUUUAAGAUUUAGGCAGAAGUGCAAAGGACAUAUGAUAACCAAACACCUUUGAAAAAAGAGAAAAAAAUUGGAGGAGUUAUAUUAACUUUUCCUAGACUUAUUACAGUUAUAUUUAUUAUAGCAGUGUGGUAUUGGUAUAAGCAGACACAAAUCAGAGCUGCAGCUGCUGAACUACAGGGCAAUGCCAGAUCCUUAACCCACUCAGUGAAGGCAGGGAUCGAACUCACAUGCUCAUGGACACUGGUAGGGUUCAUAACCCGCUGAACUACAAAGGGAACUCCCAUAAGCUAUCAGACUUUAAGUAAAGGGAACAUAUAAUAAGUAGAAUUUAAGCAAGUAUCCUGUUGUGAAGGCCAAGGAGAAUGAAGAUUUGCAGGCCAGUUAAACCCUUUUUUUUUUUUGUUAAAAAGCCAUGUCAAGAAUUCCUGCUUGGGCUCAGCAUGGUGUCGGAGAGGACGUGGGUUCAAUCCUUGGCCUCAUUCGGUGGAUUAAGGAUCUGGCAUUGCCACAUGCUGCAGCAUACGUUGCAGACGUGGCUCAGAUCCGUUUUGUUGCCUUGGCUGCGAUGUAGGCUGACAGCUGCAGGUCUGAUUCAAGCCCUGGCCCAGGAACUUCCCUAUGCCACAGGUGUGGCCAUAAAAAGAAAAAAAAGCCAAGUCAAAGUCAUGUUAAAGGGUAUGUCCCCCUGAGCAUGAGUCACAUACAAGGCAAAGUCUUCUAUCAGCAUGUACUGUUUGUCUAGUCCUGACAAAUAUUAUUCCAAUUUGUACUGAACAAACUCAAACAUCUUUAAGGAACAUAUAGGCUUAUAUAGAAGUUCCUGUUUCCGGUUCUGUCUAGUUUACCUUGGCACUAUUUUCAUGGAAGUCAAAUAUUUGGUGCUUUGAACAAAUACAGAACAAAUUCCAGGGUGGAACCUGUACAACACAAUUUCCACAGUGGAGACUGUUUGGCUUAAUCUAUUUACAGGUUUCAGAUAGGAAUUGCUUCCAUACUAGGACAACAGCAGAAGCAGAGAAUGUCGUCCAAAAAAGCAUUAAACUAGGUAUCAGAAGUCUAAUUGUGUGACCCUAGGCAAGUUGCCAACCUCACUGAGUCUCAGAUUCCUUGACUGUAACACUGGGGUUAGUGGUAAAACUUCACAUUUCUAUAAGAAGCAAUGAGAUAACUGAUUAAAAUGUGGCCCAUCACUGUUGUUUAAAUAAUUAAAAAGCAAAAUCUUAAGACUCUUACAACCAACAGGGAUGGUGAUGGUACCAGAGUCUCAGUCAAUCAAUGACUUCAUCUCAGAGGAGAGAUUUUUUUGAUAGAAACCUACCCUGGAAAUUGUUCCCUUCUUACUAAAACACAGAAUGGAGGGUAACAGCCCCACCCCCAAAAGUGUGCUUAUUGGUCAAAAGUGCCUCCUGGAAGGAGACACUGAGAGCUAAGAGGGAGAAAGUAUGCUCUAGGUGUAACGUACAACCUAGCAGACCUGUUACAGAUCAUACACAGCAAAUUUCCUGAAUCUUUAGUAUUUUGAUUGACACACAUCGUACAAACUAGGAACAGGAACGUAAAUACCAUCAUGAAGAUCGUACUCGAGUGGGUACCAAGCAACUGCGUACUCAAAGAGUGGUUCUUUGCAAGUACAAAAGCUCAUCCCAAUUCCAAUUUAAUUCUACAUGGGAUUCGAAAUGGCAUGGAACACAUAUUCGAUGAUGUCAAACCAGAAUGAUUAAAUAGAGAGUCUAAAAAGGGGGGGUGGGGUGGAGUUCCCAUUGUGGCUUAGUGGUAACUAACCUGGCUAGUAUCCAUGAGGAUGCAGGUUUAAUCCCUGGCCUUGCUCAGUGGGUUAAGGAUCCGGUGUUGCCACGAGCUGUGGUGUAGAUCACAGAUGUGGCUCUGAUCUGGCAUUGCUGUGGCUGUGAGCAGGCCAGCUGCUGUGGUUCCAAUUCAAUCCCUAGCCUGGGAACCCGCAUCUUCAACCUACACCACAGCUCAGGGCAAUGCCAGAUCCUUAACCCACUGAGCAAGGGCAGGGAUUGAACCUGCGUCCUCAAGGAUGCUAGUCAGAUUCAUUUCCGCUGAGCCACGACGGGAGCUCCAUGUUUUCCCUUAUGUUUGCAUUUCUGUUAUACCAUUUCCUUUUUUAAAAUAUUAUUUAUGGUAUUUGGUGUGAUAUAGUAUCAUUUUCUUUUUACUCUCUUCCCUCUGACACGUUUUCAACCAGAAAUGUACCAUGGAAAAGGGAACAAGUAGGUAGAGCAUGUAAAGAUAUUUGUUCUAACUUUCUUUUACCUAUUGUCUGAGAAUGUUUAGGUAAAUCAAAUUUCUUCCCCAUUUUUUUGUGGGAGUAUGAAUUUUUAGCUAGAUAAAAUCCAUUCUAGAUUGGUUUUGGUGAAAUUAUACCUCACAGUAAGGAAAGAAAUGUAACUAGACCAAAUCUUUAGACUAGAAACUUGUGUCUAUGUUAUUUAGUGUAGGUGUCCCCCUGAAUCACAGCAUCACUUAGGUCAGCCUUGUCUGUGGAGCUUGUGCACAGGCUUGAGUGAGGCCGGAUUUUUGACACACAGAGCAGCAGAAUUUUCCUCACAAGCGCAUGGCUGCUGCAUAAUGUUACUGAAGACAACAUACAAUCAAGUAUUUCAGCAUUUUAAGGAAUCCCUGUACAAACUCUUACUAGACCCUUUGAUCGUCUCUACAAUACUGUGAUUCUGCUGAAAUAGCUCACUUUCAGGUCGGGGGAAACGCAAAUGUUCCUGCGGGAGCCUAACUCAUUAUCUCUGAUAGACUUAGUUAUGAACCAAAUUGUUUUAAUGACUUUCAAGCUGCUUCUCUUUUACUUUCAUUACUGAGUUCUGGUUCCAUUCUCUGAUGCUAGGAAAAGUCUGACCCUUCCUUCACAGAUAAAACCUCCAAAUUUUGAGUUCCCAUGGGUCUUUAGUUUUCCAGGAUUAUCUUCCCUAGAACUCCUCAAUUUCCCCUCGUUACAUUUAACCACUUUACUUUCGACUCCCUAUCACAUUAAGUUUGUCAGCGUUCCUCGUGAAAUGACCCCAGAGGACUCCAUAGAACCAACUCCAAUGAGAAGGAAAACGAUAUUCUUGCCCAAAUUUGGCGGAGGCAGCCACAUAAAUUAAAAGUUAACACUUUAAUAAGAGAAAAAAGAUCUCAAGGAAGAAUUAAAAGCCCAUGCGGGAGUUCCGGUUGUAGUUCAGCCAGCCGGGCUAGUAUCCACGAGGAUGCGGGUUCCUUCCCUGGGCCUGCUAAGUGAGUUAGGGGCCAGGUGUUUCCAGUGAGCUGUGAUGUAGGUUCACGCGGCUCGGAUCUGGCGUUGCUGCAGCUGCACGCUGGCAGCUGCAGCUCCUAUUCCACCCGUAGCCUGGGAACGUCCAUGUGCUGCAGAUGCGGCCCUAAAAAGCGAAAAAACAAAAAGCCUCGGCAAAGAUUUAUCUUGUUAGAAUCACAAGCCACGCCUCCGACGCUCGCUGAGUGGGCGCACAAGCCACGCAGUAGCCGGAAGGUCGCACGGAGAACUACUCAGUUAAAGUGACAUUUCGGUGUUUUGACUGUUACCCUUUUCCAGGCGGCCUUCCUCUGCUCCAAUCUUGACUUGCAAUUAAAGGCUCCCAUUCUUCCCGCU